GUUUAUAUGUAUGUGCGAGUAUGUGCAGUGUGUUUGUAUGCAGCGAGUUUAUAUGUAUGUGCGAGUGUUUAAUAGGUGUAUAUGCACGGAUCAAGUUUAUAUGUAUGUGCGAGUAUGUGCAGGUGUGUUUGUAUGCAGCGAGUUUAUAUGUAUGUGCGAGUGUUUAAUAGGUGUAUAUGCACGGAUCAAGUUUAUAUGUAUGUGCGAGUAUGUGCAGUUGUGUUUGUAUGCAGCGAGUUUAUAUGUAUGUGCGAGUGUUUAAUAGGUGUAUAUGCAUGGAUCAAGUUAAUAUGUAUGUGCGAGUAUGUGCAGGUGUGUUUGUAUGCAGCGAGUUUAUAUGUAUGUGCGAGUGUUUAAUAGGUGUAUAUGCACGGAUCAAGUUUAUAUGUAUGUGCGAGUAUGUGCAGUUGUGUUUGUAUGCAGCGAGUUUAUAUGUAUGUGCGAGUGUUUAAUAGGUGUAUAUGCAUGGAUCAAGUUAAUAUGUAUGUGCGAGUAUGUGCAGGUGUGUUUGUAUGCAGCGAGUUUAUAUGUAUGUGCGAGUGUUUAAUAGGUGUAUAUGCACGGAUCAAGUUUAUAUGUAUGUGCGAGUAUGUGCAGGUGUGUUUGUAUGCAGCGAGUUUAUAUGUAUGUGCGAGUGUUUAAUAGGUGUAUAUGCACGGAUCAAGUUUAUAUGUAUGUGCGAGUAUGUGCAGUUGUGUUUGUAUGCAGCGAGUUUAUAUGUAUGUGCGAGUGUUUAAUAGGUGUAUAUGCACGGAUCAAGUUUAUAUGUAUGUGCGAGUAUGUGCAGUUGUGUUUGUAUGCAGCGAGUUUAUAUGUAUGUGCGAGUGUUUAAUAGGUGUAUAUGCAUGGAUCAAGUUAAUAUGUAUAUGUGAGUGUCUGUAGGUGUAUGCACGUGUCAAGUUUAUAUGUAUACGCAAGUUAUUCACAAGUGUGUAUGCAUACAUUGCUAACAUUAUAUGUAUUGGUAUCGAUUUCAUAUUAGUGUUCACGUGUAUUUUAUAUAUGUAUUUUUGAACAUUCAGUAGUAUGCAUGUAUAUGCGAGUAAUUUGUAGGUGUAUAUGCACGUGUUUUAUGUAUGUAUUGAUAAGCGAAGUUUGAUUUAAAUCCUACA